UUUGUGUUCUAUGUAUUCUUCUAACCCUAAUCAUCUCCCCCCAAAGUUUCGGCCGUUUCUCUAUCUUUCUUCUCUACUCUGUUCUUAAUCAAUUGUAAAAUGUCUUCUCCUACAUCAAAGAUCUACUUUUUUUUUCCUCUUCAACAGCUUCAUCGCAAUCUAAUAGCUAUUUGGAGGGUUUCCACACGAUCGAUGUUCCGGAUCUACCUAAAUCGAUGCCGAAGAUAUCGCCUCUGAUUUUUCGCUGAUCAAGUAGGUUCCUUAGGUUACCUAUGCACCAUUGGGAAUAAAAGAAUUGGAUGGAUGACUUAUCUUUCAUUCCAUGAAUUAAGACUUGAAAUAACUCCUUCCUCAGGCGAGUUCCUUUCUUUCCUCCGGCGAGUUCCUUUCCUUCCUCCGGCGGUGAGUUCCUUUCCUUCCUCCGGCGAGUUCCUUUCCUUCCUCCGGCGGCGAGUUCCUUUCCUUCCUCCGGUGACGAUUUCAGCAUCUCUGUAACCGAUGGCGAUUUAGGGUUCCUCAUCCAUCGAUACUCAAGGUGUUGCAUUCCGGCGAGGAUAUGCAUCAAAAUCGUAGCAGUGGUAAGUUCCUCAUCCGUCUAUUUCAGCAUCUCUGUUACUCUGUUUUUUAGGCAUCGCCACCGUCAAGGAGGAAAAAACUAGAGUGACAUAUUUGGUGGAUAAAGGUUGUGUCUCACCAUCGUCGCCGUCAAGGAGGAAAACCAGAGGAGGUUCUUCGAAGAUAUCCAGUUGCCAGCGAGUUCACAUGUGUGGAUUUUACUAUGUUUUUAUGCGAUGUACACAUGUGUAUUUUGUGGGUAUUUUUCUGAAUGCUAAUGUAUAAGUGUGUACACAUGUGUGUAUUGCAGGAUAGGGUUGAUUUAACAAGAUAGUGGAUUUUACUC